rnacentral:rRNA from 1 species
CCUACGAGAGGCCGCAGUGGGGAAUAUUGCACAAUGGGGGAAACCCUGAUGCAGCGCCGCCGCGUGAGCGAGGAAGUAUUUCUGUAUGUAAAGCUCUAGCAGCAGGGACGAAAAGAGACGGUACCUGACUACGAAGCCCCGGCUACCGACGUGCCAGCCGCCGCGGUCCUACGUAGGGGGCAAGCGUUAACCGGAUUUACUGGGUGGAAAGGGAGCGUAGACGGCAAGGCAAGCCAGAAGUGAAAGGUCAGGGCUCAACCCUGUACAUGUUUUUGGAACUGUGGGGCUAGAGUGCAGGAGAGGUAAGUGGAAUUCCUAGGGUAGCGGUGAAAUGCGUAGAUAUUAGGAGGAACACCAGUGGCGAAGGCGGCUUACUGGACUGUAACUGACGUUGAGGCUCGAAAGCGUGGGGAGCAAACAGGAUUAGAUACCCCGGUAGUC